GCAGUUGUUUAAACAUCAAAUAAUACACAUUGAGUCAGCAGUGGCUCCAACAGGCCCCGGGUGGUUACUGGUUGAAAGAGGACAAAACUCAUGUGGUUGAAGA